rnacentral:tRNA from 1 species
UAGGGAGACCUACCUUGGGGCAUCUGAGGGGAGUUAGACCACCCUCAGGCCAGCAAAGGUUAUCCCAGGUCGGUCGGGGUUGAAGGGAUGGUUGACUGGGGUUCUGGAGGGGAACCGAGGGGAGGGCUAUUAGCUCAGGUGGUUAGAGCGCACCCCUGAUAAGGGUGAGGUCCCUGGUUCGAGUCCAGGAUGGCCCACUGUUUGUCCUGGAGAAGGGAGAGCUAGUAAGCUAGAAGCGAGCUGGCCAAGCUGAGGGCAAAGCCAGAGGGUGGGUGCAGUCUGGAUUGGGGGUAUAGCUCAGCUGGUAGAGCGCUGCCUUUGCACGGCAGAAGUCAGCGGUUCGAGUCCGCUUACCUCCACUACUUUGGUGAGGAGCGGGGAAGGGGUUCUCCAGUUGGAUAGGUUGACGACCGGGCUAGGGGUUUGGGUCCGAGCACAAGCCUUCAGCCGGGUUGAGCCGGCCAGCACUUUGAAAACUGCAUAGCAAGAGAGCAGCAUGCUUCUGGGUUGAGCCCUCCGAGCCUUGGCUUGGGGGAAGCAGCAACCUGGGGGCAUGAGGCAGGUAGAACACCAAUGUUACGUGAGGUGAAAAGGUCAAGUCAGUUAAGGGCGCAC